rnacentral:rRNA from 1 species
UACGGGGGGGGCAAGCGUUGUUCGGAAUUACUGGGCGUAAAGCGCACGUAGGCGGAUUCGUAAGUCAGGGGUGAAAUCCCGGGGCUCAACCUCGGAACUGCCUUUGAUACUGCGGGUCUUGAGUCCGAUAGAGGUGGGUGGAAUUCCUAGUGUAGAGGUGAAAUUCGUAGAUAUUAGGAAGAACACCGGUGGCGAAGGCGGCCCACUGGAUCGGUACUGACGCUGAGGUGCGAAAGCGUGGGGAGCAAACAGG